UUCUUUAAAAAUAUAUAUUGCUAGUUUGUUUUAGGUUUAACAUACAACGACUUCAAAAAGUACAGGUCCAGGCACCCUGAGCUUUACUUUGAUAAGUCUUGAAAGAGUUGGUUCAUGUGAAGACGGAAGGAAUGUCUGAAGGAAUCUGUUAGUUGGUCUGUUAAACCUCCAUGCAAGGGUGCUUGGUACCAAAAUAGAAAAAAUAGUGGUCUUAGUGGUUAAUGAAGCCAACCAGAUGAGAUCGAGAAAAAAAAGUAGGAAAAAGAAAAUUGCUUUACAAAAGUUCAAUUCUUACUUUUGGUCGGAGGAUGUGCGCGCUGCUAAUGUAAAGAACAGUAAAGAUGUUGGUUCGGUGACCAAUUUAGCCGCAGCCUUCCGAUACGGAGAGAUAUAGACCGAUAGCGGAAAUAUAGAGACCGAUGUCGGUCUCUAACGUGGUAUAAAAAAUAUCGAUCGUCUAGCCAAAGUCAUAUCUAAAUAAUUGAAACUUUUAGACUUUAAUGCUGAACUUUUAGACUUUAAUGCUGAAUUAUGUAAAG
rnacentral:lncRNA from 1 species